CGGAAGGUCCGGGCGUUAUCCGGAUUUAUUGGGGUUUAAGGGGAGCGUAGGCCGCCAGGUAAGCGUGUUGUGAAAUGUACCGGCUCAACCGGUGAAUUGCAGCGCGAACUGUCUGGCUUGAGUGCACGGUAAGCAGGCGGAAUUCAUGGUGUAGCGGUGAAAUGCUUAGAUAUCAUGAAGAACUCCGAUUGCGAAGGCAGCUUGCUGCAGUGCGACUGACGCUGAUGCUCGAGGUGCGGUAUCAAACAGGAUU
rnacentral:rRNA from 1 species